rnacentral:rRNA from 1 species
GAGUUUGAUCCUGGCUCAGGAUGAACGCUGGCGGCGUGCUUAACACAUGCAAGUCGAACGGGGAUGGCCCGCCGAGGAAGCUUCGGCCGAAUCAUGGGACAUCUUAGUGGCGGACGGGUGAGUAACGCGUGGGCAACCUGCCCUGUACAGGGGGAUAACACUUAGAAAUAGGUGCUAAAACCGCAUAAGCGCACAGCUUCGCAUGAAGAAGUGUGAAAAACUCCGGUGGUACAGGAUGGACCCGCGUCUGAUUAGCUGGUUGGAGGGGUAACGGCCCACCAAGGCGACGAUCAGUAGCCGGCCUGAGAGGGUGAACGGCCGCAUUGGGACUGAGACACGGCCCAAACUCCUACGGGAGGCAGCAGUGGGGAAUAUUGCACAAUGGGGGAAACCCUGAUGCAGCGACGCCGCGUGAGUGAAGAAGUAUUUCGGUAUGUAAAGCUCUAUCAGCAGGGAAGAAAAUGACGGUACCUGACUAAGAAGCCCCGGCUAACUACGUGCCAGCAGCCGCGGUAAUACGUAGGGGGCAAGCGUUAUCCGGAUUUACUGGGUGUAAAGGGAGCGUAGACGGUGAUGCAAGUCUGAUGUGAAAGCCC